rnacentral:rRNA from 1 species
CCCUUAGAUGUUCUGGGCUGCACGCGCGCUACACUGAAGCUAUCAACACGUUUUCCCUCCCUGAGAAGGGCGGGUAACCUUUUGAAUCAGCCUCGUGGUAGGGAUCGGGGCUUGCAAUUGUUCCCCGUGAACCAGGAAUUCCUAGUAGACGCGAGUCAUAAGCUCGCAUCGAUUAAGUCCCUGCCCUUUGUACACACCGCCCGUCGCUACUACCGAUUGAACGUUUUAGUGAGGCAUUUGGACCGACGCAUCUCAGUUUAACCGCUGGUUUGUGUUGGAAAGACUUCCAAACUUGAGCGUUUAGAGGAAGUAAAAGUCGUAACA